rnacentral:tRNA from 1 species
AGAAACUUAGGUUACAACUAAACCAGGAGCCUUCAAAGCCCCAAACAAGAUUCCACUCUCUUAGUUUCUG